UACGGAGGGGGCGAGCGUUAUUCGGAAUUAUUGGGCGUAAAGGGCGCGUAGGCGGCUUGGUAAGUCAAAGGUGAAAUCCCUCGGCUCGACUGAGGAAUGGCCUUUGAAACUGGCUGGCUCGAGGCCGGGAGGGGGUAGCGGAAUUCCCAGUGUAGCGGUGAAAUGCGUAGAUAUUGGGAGGAACACCGGUGGCGAAGGCGGCUACCUGGACCGGUUCUGACGCUGAUGCGCGAAAGCGUGGGGAGCAAACAGG
rnacentral:rRNA from 1 species